CAGUAGCCGCGGUAAAACGUAGGUGGCAAGCGUUGUCCGGAAUUAUUGGGCGUAAAGGGCUCGCAGGCGGUUUCUUAAGUCUGAUGUGAAAGCCCCCGGCUCAACCGGGGAGGGUCAUUAGAAACUGGGAAACUUGAGUGCAGAAGAGGAGAGUGGAAUUCCACGUGUAGCGGUGAAAUGCGUAGAGAUGUGGAGGAACACCAGUGGCGAAGGCGACUCUCUGGUCUGUAACUGACGCUGAGGAGCGAAAGCGUGGGGAGCGAACAGGAUUAGAUACCCCCGUAGUCCCUGUCUCUUAUAC
rnacentral:rRNA from 1 species